UACGUAGGGUGCGAGCGUUGUCCGGAAUUAUUGGGCGUAAAGGGCUCGUAGGCGGUUUGUCGCGUCGGGAGUGAAAACACGGGGCUUAACCCCGUGCCUGCUUCCGAUACGGGCAGACUAGAGGUAUGCAGGGGAGAACGGAAUUCCUGGUGUAGCGGUGAAAUGCGCAGAUAUCAGGAGGAACACCGGUGGCGAAGGCGGUCUCUGGC
rnacentral:rRNA from 1 species